CCUACGGGAGGCUGCAGUGGGGAAUAUUGGUCAAUGGGCGUAAGCCUGAACCAGCCAAGCCGCGUGAGGGAUGAAGGUUCUAUGGAUCGUAAACCUCUUUUAUAAGGAAGUAACGUGCGGGACGUGUCCCGUUUUGUAUGUACCUUAUGAAUAAGGAUCGGCUAACUCCGUGCCAGCAGCCGCGGUAAUCCGGAGGAUCUGAGCGUUAUCCGGAUUUAUUGGGUUUAAGGGGUUCGUAGCCGGCCUUUUAAUUCCGCGGUGAACGUCUGUGGUUCAAACAUAGAAUUGCGGUUGAAACUGGGAGGCUUGAGUAUGUUUGAGGCAGGCGGAAUGCGUGGUGUAGCGGUGAAAUGCGUAGAUAUCACGCAGAACCCCGAUUGCGAAGGCAGCCUGCCAAGCCAUGACUGACGCUGAUGCACGAAAGCGUGGGGAUCAAACAGGAUUAGAUACCCGGGUAGUC
rnacentral:rRNA from 1 species